rfam:Acetohalobium arabaticum DSM 5501, complete genome.
UAGGUAGGUGUAGGUGACCCUAAUGGAAUGGUCAUCAGUCACGCAUUAGCUUCGGGCAUGGGCGGAGUACGUACUGCCGGAGACCUGGUAGCGCGCAUGC